rnacentral:rRNA from 1 species
AUACAGAGGGUGCGAGCGUUAAUCGGAAUUACUGGGCGUAAAGCGCGCGUAGGCGGCUUAUUAAGUCAGAUGUGAAAUCCCCGGGCUCAACCUGGGAACUGCAUCUGAUACUGGUAAGCUAGAGUUUUGGAGAGGGAAGUAGAAUUUCAGGUGUAGCGGUGAAAUGCAUAGAGAUCUGAAGGAAUACCAGUGGCGAAGGCGACUUCCUGGCCAAAAACUGACGCUGAGGUGCGAAAGCGUGGGUAGCAAACGCGAUUAGAAACCCCUGUAGUCC